rnacentral:misc_RNA from 1 species
AACAAGGCGUACCUGCGGACCUGCGGAGGGAUCAUUACAGGGUUGCAAAACUCCCUAAACCAUUGUGAACGUUACCUAAACCGUUGCUUCGGCGGGCGGCCCGGGUCCUUCCCGGCGCCCCUCGGCCCUCGCGGGCGCCCGCCGGAGGUAAACCAAACUAUUGCAUUGUAUGGCCUCUCUGAGUCUUCUGUACUGAAUAAGUCAAAACUUUUAACAACGGAUCUCAGAUCGGAAGAGCAC